AUUGAACGCUGGCGGAAUGCUUUACACGUGCAAGUCGAACGGCAGCACGGACUUCGGUCUGGUGGCGAGUGGCGAACGGGUGAGUAGUGUAUCGGAACGUGCCCAGUCGUGGGGGAUAACGUAGUGAAAAUUACGCUAAUACCGCAUACGAUCUAUGGAUGAAAGCGGGGGAUCGCAAGAACUCGCGCGAUUGGAGCGGCCGAUAUCAGAUUAGGUAGUUGGUGGGGUAAAGGCCCACCAAGCCAACGAUCUGUAGCUGGUCUGAGAGGACGACCAGCCACACUGGAACUGAGACACGGUCCAGACUCCUACGGGAGGCAGCAGUGGGGAAUUUUGGACAAUGGGCGAAAGCCUGAUCCAGCCAUUCCGCGUGCAGGAUGAAGGCCCUCGGGUUGUAAACUGCUUUUGUACAGAACGAAAAGGUUUCUACUAGUACUAGGAGCUCAUGACGGUACUGUAAGAAUAAGCACCGGCUAACUACGUGCCAGCCGCCGCAGUAA
rnacentral:rRNA from 1 species